rnacentral:rRNA from 1 species
GAAAGUAGGAAAGGGCGUACGGUGGAUGCCUUGGCUCUUACAGGCGAUGAAGGACGUGAUAAGCUGCGAAAAGCCGCGGGUAGGUGCAAAUGACCUUUGAUCCGCGGAUCUCCGAAUGGGACAACCCAAUGUUCUGAAGGAACAUUAUUCCACGAAUGUGGAAGGCGAACGCGGGGAACUGAAACAUCUUAGUACCCGCAGGAAGAGAAAAUAAACAAUGAUUCCCCCAGUAGUGGCGAGCGAACGGGGAAGAGCCCAAACCGGCCCUGUCGAGGCAGGACCGGGGUUGUAGGACCGCGAUGUCGGACGAAAUUUUGUGAGCGGAAGGUGCUGGAAAGCGCCGCCAUAGACUGUGAAAGCCAGGUACGCGAAGCAAGAUGAACCGUAGCGGAAUCCUGAGUAGCGCGGGACACGAGGAAUCCUGUGUGAAGCGGCCGGGACCAUCCGGUAAGGCUAAAUACUCGUAAGAGACCGAUAGUGAACCAGUACUGUGAAGGAAAGGUGAAAAGCACCCCGGAGAGGGGAGUGAAACAGUUCCUGAAACCGUGCGCCUACAAGCGGUCGGAGCUCAUUAUUGAGUGACGGCGUGCCUUUUGCAUAAUGAACCUACGAGUUGCCGUCGUUGGCGAGGUUAAGGAACACGAGUUCCUGAGCCGUAGUGAAAGCGAGCCUGAAUAGGGCGCCGAGUCAGCGGAGGCAGACGCGAAACCGAGUGAUCUACACUUGUCCAGGAUGAAGUCCCGGUAACACGGGAUGGAGGUCCGCACCGAUAAGCGUUGAAAAGCUUCCGGAUGAGGUGAGUGUAGGAGUGAAAGGCCAAUCAAACUCGGAGAUAGCUCGUACUCCCCGAAAGGCAUUUAGGUGCCGCCUCUUACGUUCCCGAUGUGAGGUAGAGCGACUGAUAGGAUGCGAGGGCUUCACCGCCUAUCAAGUCCUGACAAACUCCGAAUGCGCAUCGGCCAAGUGAGGGAGUAAGGGCAUGGGUGCUAAGGUCCGUGCCCGAGAGGAGAAGAAUCCAGACCACCGGCUAAGGUCCCGAAAUGCAGUUUAAGUUAGACUAACGAAGUCCGGCCCCCAAGACAGCUAGGAUGUUGGCUUGGAAGCAGCCAUUCAUUCAAAGAGUGCGUAACAGCUCACUAGUCGAGGAGCUGGGCAUGGAUAAUAAUCGGGUAUCAAAUCUGCUGCCGAAGCCGUGGGAUACAUCAGUAUCGGUAGGGGAGCAUUCCAUUCAGCGUUGAAGGCGUACCGUAAGGUAUUCUGGAGCGUAUGGAAAAGCAAAUGUAGGUAUAAGUAACGAUAAGGAGGGUGAGAUGCCCUCCCGCCGCAAGACCAAGGUUUCCUGAACAACGCUAAUCGGUUCAGGGUCAGUCGGGUCCUAAGCAUAAGCCGCAAGGCGAGGGCGAUGGCAGAAACGGUUAAUAUUCCGUUACUACCUUUGCGCGUGAUGUGGGGACGGAGGAGUGACACGGUCGCCGCCUGACGGAAUAGGCGGUUGAAGGGUGUAGGUUAUGAGGAAGGCAGGCAAAUCCACCUUCCGAGCUGAAACCUGAGAGUACGGAGCGUCCUUCGGGACAAUCCGAGAGUACCGGUAAUCAGACUCCCGAGAAAAUCCGCUAAACAGCAACGCAAAGGUACCCGUACUCGAAACGGACACACGUGGUCGGGUUGAAUAUACUGAGGCGCUUGGGAGAUUCACGGUUAAGGAACUAGGCAAAUUGACCCCGUACCUUCGGAAAAAGGGGUCCUCACAGCAAUGUGAGGCGCAGAGAAUAGGUCCAGGCAACUGUUUAACAAAAACACAGGGCUGUGCCAAAUUUAACGAUGAUGUAUACAGCCUGACACCUGCCCGGUGCCGGAAGGUUAAGAGGAGAGCUUAUCAGCAAUGAGAAGGUUUGAAUUGAAGCCCCGGUAAACGGCGGCCGUAACUAUAACGGUCCUAAGGUAGCGAAAUUCCUUGUCGG